rnacentral:rRNA from 1 species
AACGAACGCUGGCGGCAUGCCUAACACAUGCAAGUCGAACGAGAUCUUCGGGUCUAGUGGCGCACGGGUGCGUAACGCGUGGGAAUCUGCCCUUUGGUUCGGAAUAACAGUUGGAAACGACUGCUAAUACCGGAUGAUGACGAAAGUCCAAAGAUUUAUCGCCAGAGGAUGAGCCCGCGUAGGAUUAGCUAGUUGGUGUGGUAAAGGCGCACCAAGGCGACGAUCCUUAGCUGGUCUGAGAGGAUGAUCAGCCACACUGGGACUGAGACGCGGCCCAGACUCCUACGGGAGGCAGAAGUGGGGAAUAUUGGACAAUGGGCGAAAGCCUGAUCCAGCAAUGCCGCGUGAGUGAUGAAGGCCUUAGGGUUGUAAAGCUCUUUUACCCGGGAUGAUAAUGACAGUACCGGGAGAAUAAGCUCCGGCUAACUCCGUGCCAGCAGCCGCGGUAA